AAGCCUGUCUCAGUUCGGAUUGGAGUCUGCAACCCGACUCCAUGAAGCUGGAUUCGCUAGUAAUCGCGCAUCAGCCACGGCGCGGUGAAUACGUUCUCGGGCCUUGUACACACCGCCCGUCAAGCCAUGGAAGCCGGGGGUGCCUGAAGUGCGCUGCCGCAAGGAGCGUCCUAGGGUAAAACCGGUGACUGGGGCUAAGUCGUAACAAGGUACC
rnacentral:rRNA from 1 species